CAAUGAAAGCAGAACUAAAUACGCGUCGGUCUUGUAAAUCGAAGGAUGGAGGGUUACCCUCCUCAUUGCAG
rnacentral:tRNA from 1 species